rnacentral:rRNA from 1 species
GACGAACGCUGGCGGCGCGCCUAACACAUGCAAGUCGAACGGGGUUAUUUGGAAGAAGCCUUCGGGCAACGGAAGGAUAACCUAGUGGCGGACGGGUGAGUAACACGUGAGCAACCUGCCUUACAGAGGGGGAUAACGUCUGGAAACGGACGCUAAUACCGCAUAAGAUCAGACCGGGGCAUCCCGGAUUGAUCAAAGGAGCAAUCCGCUGUAAGAUGGGCUCGCGACCGAUUAGGCAGUUGGCGGGGUAACGGCCCACCAAACCGACGAUCGGUAGCCGGACUGAGAGGUUGAACGGCCACAUUGGGACUGAGACACGGCCCAGACUCCUACGGGAGGCAGCAGUGGGGGAUAUUGCACAAUGGGGGAAACCCUGAUGCAGCGACGCCGCGUGAGGGAAG